CUUCCGCCCGCGGGCUGCGCGGGGCGGCGGGCGGGGCCGGCGGGACUGCGUGCUGCGGAGCGAAGCUGUUCUGCAGAGAAAAAGUUCUUUGAGUUCCAUCUUGUCCAGGACUGGUUUCCUCUGCUGUCACCAUGGCAAUGUCACUUAGAACUGCAUGGUCCAGCCUCCUUUGGAUGCGUUCAGCAGCAACCUAUAAGCAGGUCCCACUGCAGAAUGGAGCUGUGUAUCAUGCUUCCCAUAAAUCUACAUACUCAAUUCUCCCUGAAGACUACAAUUGCAAAGUGGAACUUGCAGUGACAUCCGAUUUGAAGACAAUUGUCUGCUACCACCCUUCGCUUGAGAUUCCAUAUGAGCAUACAAAACCCGUACCACGGCCAGAUCCAGUGAAUAAUAAAGAAGAAAACCUUGAUCAAGUUUUAAAAUCUAGAUUGAAUGAAAAGGAACUAAAGAACAGUAGAGGUCCUACAAUUGAAGAGCUCAGCAAAAUGUUUUACACAACAAAACAUCGCUGGUAUCCUGUGGGACAGUAUCAUAGAAGACGCAGGAAUCCUAAUCCUCCUAAAGACCGAUAACAAAGAUAACUUCUUGUUCACCUGGACUUUGCUGUAAUUUUGAUUGGAAAUAAAAGUUACAGCAGGUCUCAAACAACUUUCUUUGCUUCUCUUGAAAACUUGGAAUUCAGUACUCAUCCACUUGAUUAAUGUUCCACUUCUAUGCAAAAAAAAAUAAAUUGAAAGUUAGUUUGGGAA